rnacentral:lncRNA from 1 species
CUAGGUGCAGAUGGAACUGUGAAAAGAAAAGUGCAUAUUAGCAUCGAGUAGGAGUAAAAGCUGAUAGUUGCAACAACAGCGAGUGUACAUUUUGAUGGUUGCAAAAAUGUAGAAACAUAAAAAUGGAUAACGAUGCUUACCAUCUUCAGAAGUUUUCACAAACUAAAAGUCGAAAUGUCAUCUGUAGAAAAUCCGUUGACCAACUCGUAGCCGCGUCCUUCACUUAUUGUAUAAUUACAAUAAGUUAGGACGGAAGUAAGACCACAUUCGUUGUUGUCCCUGUCAAUGUGCCAGCCGACUGAAAUUGUGCUUUUAGUUACCCAGGGUACAAUAUCUUGCACUGUUUUCUUUUCAGCCCAACUCACCGCUUUCUUCAGUAGUGCCUUCAAUAGUACCAGACUCUCCCUCGUCACUCGUCCAUACAGGGGUGAUUUGGAUGACGUAUGAUUUGCAGGCAAUUAAAUCAGAUAGUGUAAUAUUCGUG